rnacentral:rRNA from 1 species
UACGUAGGGGGCGAGCGUUGUCCGAAUUUACUGGGCGUAAAGCGCGCGUAGGCGGUUCUUUAAGUCUGGGGUGAAAGGUUCAGCGCUCAACGCGAACAGUGCCCUGGAGACUGGGGGACUUGAGUGUGGCAGGGGGGACCGGAAUUCCUGGUGUAGCGGCGAAAUGCGUAGAUAUCAGGAGGAACACCGGUGGCGAAGGCGGGUCCCUGGGCUAACACUGACGCUGAGGCGCGAAAGCGUGGGGAGCGAACGGG